UUUUAGUAGAGUUUGAUCCUAGCUCAGGAUGAACGCUGGCGGCGUGGAUAAGGCAUGCAAGUCGAACGGAUUUUCUAUUUCUCGAGAUGAGAUUAUAUCAAGUCAAAGGUCGUAGAAGAUUAGUGGCAAACGAGGUAGUAACACGUGGGAACUCACCCCAAAGUCGGGCAUAAUUCGCCGAAAGGCGGACUAAUUCCCGAUGGUCUGGAUGUUACACUAAGAUUUUAAUUUUGUUAUCAGCUUUGCGAGAGUAGCUCGCUUCGCGAGGAACAGAAUUCUAUUGAAAUCUUAGUGUAGCAUCCAGUAAAGAUUUUUCGCUUUGGGAGAGGCCUGCGGAGUAUCAGCUAGUUGGUAGGGUAACGGCCUACCAAGGCUAUGACGCUUAGGGGAGGUGAGAGCCUGACCCCCACCGAUGGAACUGCGACACGGUCCAUACACCUACGGGUGGCAGCAGCCGAGAAUAUUCGACAAUGGGCGAAAGCCUGAUCGAGUGACGCCGCGUGGUGGAUGAAGUCCUUAGGGACGUAAACACCUUUUGUCGGGGAAGAAGUUUAUUGACAUUACCCGAAGAAUAAGAGGCUCCUAAUCUCGUGCCAGCAGGAGCGGUAAUACGAGAGCCUCGAGUGUUAUCCGGAUUUAUUGGGCGUAAAGGGUGCGUAGGUUGUCUGGUUAGUCUUUUGUUAAAGACCGCCGCCUAACGGCGGGAAUGUGGAAGAAACGGCCAGACUAGAGAGUGUGAGGGGUGUACGGAACUCAUGGUGUAGGGGUGAAAUCCGUUGAUAUCAUGGGGAACACCAAAAGCGAAGGCAGUACACUGGCACAUUUCUGACACUGAAGCACGAAAGCGUGGGUAGCGAAUGGGAUUAGAUACCCCAGUAGUCCACGCCCUAAACGAUGAUGACUCGCUCUUCGGAGUAUCGACCCUCUGAGGGGCUUAGCUAACGCGUUAAGUCAUCCGCCUGGGAAUUACGGCCGCAAGGCUAAAACUCAAAGGAAUAGACGGGGACUCGCACAAGCAGUGGAUCAUGUGGUUCAAUUCGACGGUAAACGAAAAACCUUACCAGGGCUAGAAACCCAAUCGAAGUCUCCGGGAAACCGGGGGCGUCCGCAAGGACGGUUGAGCAGGUGCUGCAUGGCCGUCGUCAGCUCGUGGCUUGAGUUGUACCCUUAAGUGGGGUAACGAGCGCAACCCUUGUCGUCUGUUAUAGAUGUCAGGCGAGACUGCCCAGCCCUAAUUUUCCGAAUAUAUAGUUCACUUAGUGAUAAAUUAUCACUGAGCGCACUUAAUGUCUUAAAUUUUUGUCUGAAAGACAAAAAUUUGUAAUAAGUUAGUGGGAAAAUUAGGGCUGGGAGGAAGGAGAGGAUGACGCCAGGUCAGCAUGGCCCUAGAUGCCCUGGGCUACACACAUGAUACAAUGGUCACUACAAUGGGUUGCCAAGCCGCGAGGCGGAGCUAAUCCUAAUAAAAGUGGCCCCAGUUCGGAUUGGAGUCUGAAACUCGACUCCAUGAAGUUGGAAUUGCUAGUAAUCGCAGGUCAGCACACUGCGGUGAAUACGUUCUCGAGUCUUGUACUCGGGUCGCCAUGCGAUCGUGUACACU
rfam:Candidatus Nomurabacteria bacterium RIFCSPHIGHO2_01_FTLL_42_16 rifcsphigho2_01_scaffold_46163, whole genome shotgun sequence.